GACACCAUAUAGCUUCCACUGUAAUUACAGACAUCAGACAUUACUCAACUCUUUGAAUAGAACACACAAAAUGACAAACUCUCAAACCUGGCAGUUCACCAACAAGGGAUGUAUGGAAGCAAAGACAAUCUCCCUGCCACUCAUUCUUUCGAGAAACUGAGAAUUUUCUAACACAGUUUAGUAUUUUUCACACUCCUAUUAGAACCUCAAAAU
rnacentral:misc_RNA from 1 species